rnacentral:misc_RNA from 1 species
GCAAACUUGGUCAUUUAGAGGAAGUAAAAGUCGUAACAAGGUUUCCGUAGGUGAACCUGCGGAAGGAUCAUUACCGAGUUAGGGUUUCUUAUGAGCCCGACCUCCAACCCUUUGUUAAACCUACUUUGUUGCUUUGGCAGGCCCGUCUUCGGGCCGCUGGGGGGGUUAGUCAUCCCUGGCCAGUGCCUGCCAGUAGCCAGUCUCAAUUCAUUCUUAACCAUGUUGUCUGAUCAUAUAAUUGAAAAUAAAGUAAAACUUUCAACAACGGAUCUCUUGGUUCUGGCAUCGAUGAAGAACGCAGC